rnacentral:tRNA from 1 species
AAUGGUGUAAUUUAUGCAAAAUAUCACUCUGCAAAGGUGAGUAUGCUUAUCAUAUAAGCCACCAUUU